rnacentral:rRNA from 1 species
AAAUUGAAGAGUUUGAUCAUGGCUCAGAUUGAACGCUGGCGGCAGGCCUAACACAUGCAAGUCGAACGGUAACAGGAAGAAGCUUGCUUCUUUGCUGACGAGUGGCGGACGGGUGAGUAAUGUCUGGGAAACUGCCUGAUGGAGGGGGAUAACUACUGGAAACGGUAGCUAAUACCGCAUAAUGUCGCAAGACCAAAGAGGGGGACCUUCGGGCCUCUUGCCAUCGGAUGUGCCCAGAUGGGAUUAGCUUGUUGGUGGGGUAACGGCUCACC